CAGCGCCACGAGUGGGAACUGUAAUUAUUGGGCCUAAAACGUCCGUAGCCUGUUUAGUAAAUGCCUGGGUAAAUCGUGUAGCUUAACUAUACGAAUUCCGGGUAGACUGCUAAACUUGAGACCGGGAGAGGCUAGAGGUACUCCUGGGGUAGAGGUGAAAUUCUGUAAUCCUAGGGGGACCACCAGUGGCGAAGGCGUCUAGCUAGAACGGGUCUGACGGUGAGGGACGAAGCCCUGGGGCACAAACCGGAUUAGAUACCCGAGUAGUCC
rnacentral:rRNA from 1 species